CACAUUUACGACACUUCAUAGCCCCAAACUCCGAGGAAACAAAAACCUUAUAAUUAGGGUUUGAGAGAGAAGAGCACACAGACUACAGACGAAAAUUUCAAUGGCGUCGAAGAUUACUCUGAAGAGCAAGGGCAAAACGACGAAUAAGGGCUCCAAAGGCUCUGAUGAGCGCUCGGUGGCCCAGUCCGUGAAGGAGUGGAGCACGUGGGCCAUGAAGAAGGCCAAGGUCGUCACCCACUACGGCUUCAUUCCCCUGAUCAUCGUCAUCGGCAUGAACUCGGAGCCUAAGCCACAGCUUUCUCAGCUUCUCAGCCCCGUCUGAUCUGAUCGGUUUGGAUCCUUCAAAUUCCAAUAUGGGUUUUUGGUAUUAUCGCUAGUGGGUUAUGGUUCGGUGCCUAUUUGUCGAAUCUACAUCUUAUGGUUCAGGUUACUGUUUAGGGUUUUGUUCUACAUGUUACGGAGGUAUUUGUUUUAGUAAUUGGGUGUAAGGAAUUUUAUGUAUGAUUUUGCUUAAACUGACGAAUGGGCACUUUUCAAUGAGGAUUUUGCCUUUGUAGUUGAAUUUAUUGAAUAUAUAAAAAUUUGGGCUUUGUGCUUCCAAAUGAUCUUAUUAGAUUUUAAAUUUAUGUCUUACUAUUCAUGCAUGGCUUUUUAAUUCUCUGUUAUUUGAUAUUUUUUUGUAGCAAUUUGACUGCUUACUUGUAAGAUUCUAUGCUGUCUCCUGUUGUCUCCCGUACAAUGUGUCUGCUUGCAUUUGUUGGUUUGUUAUUUGAUUCUGG
rnacentral:lncRNA from 1 species